UACACACCGCCCGUCACACCAUGGGAGUGGGUUGCACCAGAAGUAGGUAGCUUAACUGUUAAAGGGGAGCGCUUACCACGGUGUGGUUCAUGACUGGGGUG
rnacentral:rRNA from 1 species